AGGAUGAACGCUGGCGGUCUGCUUAACACAUGCAAGUCGAACGGAGUACCUCGGUACUUAGUGGCGGACGGGUGAGUAACGCGUGAGAAUCUGCCCUUAGGUCGGGGACAACCAUUGGAAACGAUGGCUAAAUACCGGAUAAGCCGAGAGGUAAAAGAUUAAUUGCCUAGGGAAGAGCUCGCGUCUGAUUAGCUAGUUGGUGAGGUAAAGGCUCACCAAGGCAUCGAUCAGUAGCUGGUCUGAGAGGAUGAUCAGCCACACUGGGACUGAGACACGGCCCAGACUCCUACGGGAGGCAGCAGUGGGGAAUUUUCCGCAAUGGGCGAAAGCCUGACGGAGCAAGACCGCGUGAGGGAGGAAGGCUCUUGGGUUGUAAACCUCUUUUCUUGGGGAAGAACAAAAUGACGGUACCCAAGGAAUCAGCAUCGGCUAACUCCGCGCCAGCGGCGC
rnacentral:rRNA from 1 species